rnacentral:lncRNA from 1 species
AUGGGGCGUCAGGGCUCCUGGGGGGAAGGUGAGGAGAGGAAGGAGGAGGAGGAGGAGGGAACCUGUGCCUCGGUGAGCGGCUGGGUGUCUGCAGGGGAAGAGCCAGAGCAGGGGCUGCGGAGGAGGGGACGUGACAGAAAUCGCAGCCUCCUCCCAAAAAUGAAGGUGAGGCAGAGGAGAGGGAUGAGCAGAAAUAACUGCUGCCAGCUCAGGCACCACCUGGGGGUUACCCUAACCAGGGGCAGACGGCUCAGCCACGCUUCUUCUCCCUGCUCAGAUCAUUCAGACCAGCACAACCCCGACCGUGCGCACCCCACGGCUCCUGGCAGACACCCCCACAUUUCCCUGUCAGCAUCAACCGGCUCCUGGCAAACACCCCCACAUUUCCCUGUCAGCAUCCUCAGCCCCAGACACCCCCACAUUUCCCCGUCAGCAUCCUCAGGCAGAGGAAAGCUGAGGCUCUGGUGCGAGGGGAGCAGCCUCUGCCCUCCAGCCCGUGCCACGGGGAGCUCUCUCGGAGCCCUCCAUCCAGAAAACGGGGUGGGCAUCGGGUCCCCCCAAAACCCCAGACCUUUCCCAGGGGCUGGGCCGUGCUCAGGCCGGGAGCCCACGAGUAGACAGGAUCCAAAGGGCUUUUUCCCCUCCCUUCCCCCUGAAACAGGAGUUGGGCUUAAAAAUUACUCAAUUAGGACUGGUCGAUGUCUGCUGUGGUCACAGGGCCAGCACGUGCCCUUCUGCACCCAGAUAUUGGGAAAAACGAGUGAGUUUUGGGACGAGCGAGUCAGAGCCUGCUCCGGAGCUGCAGAAAACAAUCCCUGGCCGCGAGAUUUGUGUUCAAAGAGCAGGAAUUUGGUGCCGUUGGGAGCAGCCCCAGGGUCUGUUCAGCCCCAAGCGGACCCCAAUGGUGUGGGGGUGACUCGGCCGGGUCUCACUGGCUGGAAAACCACUCGGCAAGUCCAGAGCCUCCUCAGCCAGCAGAGACGGGCAGGGAUCACCCUGCUUGAAACACGACGGAGGGAAAAAACAUCUAUAACAACAAAAUCCUUUUCUGCUGUUAUUUCUCCCUUUU